rnacentral:rRNA from 1 species
GGGUUGUGAGGUUAAGCGACUAAGCGUACACGGUGGAUGCCCUGGCAGUCAGAGGCGAUGAAGGACGUGCUAAUCUGCGAUAAGCGUCGGUAAGGUGAUAUGAACCGUUAUAACCGGCGAUUUCCGAAUGGGGAAACCCAGUGUGUUUCGACACACUAUCAUUAACUGAAUCCAUAGGUUAAUGAGGCGAACCGGGGGAACUGAAACAUCUAAGUACCCCGAGGAAAAGAAAUCAACCGAGAUUCCCCCAGUAGCGGCGAGCGAACGGGGAGCAGCCCAGAGCCUGAAUCAGUGUGUGUGUUAGUGGAAGCGUCUGGAAAGGCGCGCGAUACAGGGUGACAGCCCCGUACACAAAAAUGCACAUGCUGUGAGCUCGAUGAGUAGGGCGGGACACGUGGUAUCCUGUCUGAAUAUGGGGGGACCAUCCUCCAAGGCUAAAUACUCCUGACUGACCGAUAGUGAACCAGUACCGUGAGGGAAAGGCGAAAAGAACCCCGGCGAGGGGAGUGAAAAAGAACCUGAAACCGUGUACGUACAAGCAGUGGGAGCACGCUUAGGCGUGUGACUGCGUACCUUUUGUAUAAUGGGUCAGCGACUUAUAUUCUGUAGCAAGGUUAACCGAAUAGGGGAGCCGAAGGGAAACCGAGUCUUAACUGGGCGUUAAGUUGCAGGGUAUAGACCCGAAACCCGGUGAUCUAGCCAUGGGCAGGUUGAAGGUUGGGUAACACUAACUGGAGGACCGAACCGACUAAUGUUGAAAAAUUAGCGGAUGACUUGUGGCUGGGGGUGAAAGGCCAAUCAAACCGGGAGAUAGCUGGUUCUCCCCGAAAGCUAUUUAGGUAGCGCCUCGUGAAUUCAUCUCCGGGGGUAGAGCACUGUUUCGGCAAGGGGGUCAUCCCGACUUACCAACCCGAUGCAAACUGCGAAUACCGGAGAAUGUUAUCACGGGAGACACACGGCGGGUGCUAACGUCCGUCGUGAAGAGGGAAACAACCCAGACCGCCAGCUAAGGUCCCAAAGUCAUGGUUAAGUGGGAAACGAUGUGGGAAGGCCCAGACAGCCAGGAUGUUGGCUUAGAAGCAGCCAUCAUUUAAAGAAAGCGUAAUAGCUCACUGGUCGAGUCGGCCUGCGCGGAAGAUGUAACGGGGCUAAACCAUGCACCGAAGCUGCGGCAGCGACGCUGAUGCGUUGUUGGGUAGGGGAGCGUUCUGUAAGCCUGCGAAGGUGUGCUGUGAGGCAUGCUGGAGGUAUCAGAAGUGCGAAUGCUGACAUAAGUAACGAUAAAGCGGGUGAAAAGCCCGCUCGCCGGAAGACCAAGGGUUCCUGUCCAACGUUAAUCGGGGCAGGGUGAGUCGACCCCUAAGGCGAGGCCGAAAGGCGUAGUCGAUGGGAAACAGGUUAAUAUUCCUGUACUUGGUGUUACUGCGAAGGGGGGACGGAGAAGGCUAUGUUGGCCGGGCGACGGUUGUCCCGGUUUAAGCGUGUAGGCUGGUUUUCCAGGCAAAUCCGGAAAAUCAAGGCUGAGGCGUGAUGACGAGGCACUACGGUGCUGAAGCAACAAAUGCCCUGCUUCCAGGAAAAGCCUCUAAGCAUCAGGUAACAUCAAAUCGUACCCCAAACCGACACAGGUGGUCAGGUAGAGAAUACCAAGGCGCUUGAGAGAACUCGGGUGAAGGAACUAGGCAAAAUGGUGCCGUAACUUCGGGAGAAGGCACGCUGAUAUGUAGGUGAGGUCCCUCGCGGAUGGAGCUGAAAUCAGUCGAAGAUACCAGCUGGCUGCAACUGUUUAUUAAAAACACAGCACUGUGCAAACACGAAAGUGGACGUAUACGGUGUGACGCCUGCCCGGUGCCGGAAGGUUAAUUGAUGGGGUUAGCGCAAGCGAAGCUCUUGAUCGAAGCCCCGGUAAACGGCGGCCGUAACUAUAACGGUCCUAAGGUAGCGAAAUUCCUUGUCGGGUAAGUUCCGACCUGCACGAAUGGCGUAAUGAUGGCCAGGCUGUCUCCACCCGAGACUCAGUGAAAUUGAACUCGCUGUGAAGAUGCAGUGUACCCGCGGCAAGACGGAAAGACCCCGUGAACCUUUACUAUAGCUUGACACUGAACAUUGAGCCUUGAUGUGUAGGAUAGGUGGGAGGCUUAGAAGUGUGGACGCCAGUCUGCAUGGAGCCGACCUUGAAAUACCACCCUUUAAUGUUUGAUGUUCUAACGUGGACCCGUAAUCCGGGUUGCGGACAGUGUCUGGUGGGUAGUUUGACUGGGGCGGUCUCCUCCUAAAGAGUAACGGAGGAGCACGAAGGUUGGCUAAUCCUGGUCGGACAUCAGGAGGUUAGUGCAAUGGCAUAAGCCAGCUUGACUGCGAGCGUGACGGCGCGAGCAGGUGCGAAAGCAGGUCAUAGUGAUCCGGUGGUUCUGAAUGGAAGGGCCAUCGCUCAACGGAUAAAAGGUACUCCGGGGAUAACAGGCUGAUACCGCCCAAGAGUUCAUAUCGACGGCGGUGUUUGGCACCUCGAUGUCGGCUCAUCACAUCCUGGGGCUGAAGUAGGUCCCAAGGGUAUGGCUGUUCGCCAUUUAAAGUGGUACGCGAGCUGGGUUUAGAACGUCGUGAGACAGUUCGGUCCCUAUCUGCCGUGGGCGCUGGAGAACUGAGGGGGGCUGCUCCUAGUACGAGAGGACCGGAGUGGACGCAUCACUGGUGUUCGGGUUGUCAUGCCAAUGGCACUGCCCGGUAGCUAAAUGCGGAAGAGAUAAGUGCUGAAAGCAUCUAAGCACGAAACUUGCCCCGAGAUGAGUUCUCCCUGACUCCUUGAGAGUCCUGAAGGAACGUUGAAGACGACGACGUUGAUAGGCCGGGUGUGUAAGCGCAGCGAUGCGUUGAGCUAACCGGUACUAAUGAACCGUGAGGCUUAACCUUACAACGCCGAAG